AAACGACAGGGGGAAAUGAAAUGUGUAACUGAAUGAGGUUUAUGUUAAAACGACAGGGGGAAAUGAAAUGUGUAACUGAAUGAGGUUUAUGUUAAAACGACAGGGGGAAAUGAAAUGUGUAACUGAAUGAGGUUUAUGUUAAAACGACAGGGGGAAAUGAAAUGUGUAACUGAAUGAGGUUUAUGUUAAAACGACAGGGGGAAAUGAAAUGUGUAACUGAAUGAGGUUUAUGUUAAAACGACAGGGGGAAAUGAAAUGUGUAACUGAAUGAGGUUUAUGUUAAAACGACAGGGGGAAAUGAAAUGUGUAACUGAAUGAGGUUUAUGUUAAAACGACAGGGGGAAAUGAAAUGUGUAACUGAAUGAGGUUUAUGUUAAAACGACAGGGGGAAAUGAAAUGUGUAACUUAAUGAGGUUUAUGUUAAAACGACAGGGG